rnacentral:rRNA from 1 species
CCUACGGGAGGCAGCAGUGGGGAAUAUUGGGCAAUGGGCGCAAGCCUGACCCAGCAACGCCGCGUGAAGGAAGAAGGCUUUCGGGUUGUAAACUUCUUUUGUCAGGGACGAAGCAAGUGACGGUACCUGACGAAUAAGCCACGGCUAACUACGUGCCAGCAGCCGCGGUAAUACGUAGGUGGCAAGCGUUAUCCGGAUUUACUGGGUGUAAAGGGCGUGUAGGCGGGGAGGCAAGUCAGAUGUGAAAACCACGGGCUCAACCUGUGGCCUGCAUUUGAAACUGUUUUUCUUGAGUGCUGGGGAGGCAAUCGGAAUUCCGUGUGGAGCGGUGAAAUGCGUAGAUAUACGGAGGAACACCAGUGGCGAAGGCGGAUUGCUGGACAGUAACUGACGCUGAGGCGCGAAAGCGUGGGGAGCAAACAGGAUUAGAUACCCCUGUAGUC